AGUGAACGCUGGCGGCAGGCCUAACACAUGCAAGUCGAGCGGCAGCGGGUCCCCGCGAGGGGAUGCCGGCGAGCGGCGGACGGGUGAGGAACACAUCGGAAUCUGCCUGGUUGUGGGGGAUAACGUAGGGAAACUUACGCUAAUACCGCAUGCGACCCUGAGUCGACGGACUUGGGGUGAAAGUGAGGGACCUUCGGGCCUCACGCGACCAGAUGAGCCGAUGUCGGAUUAGCUAGUUGGCGGGGUAACGGCCCGCCAAGGCGACGAUCCGUAGCUGGUCUGAGAGGAUGAUCAGCCACACUGGGACUGAGACA
rnacentral:rRNA from 1 species